CACAGAAGAAAUCACUAGUAUCUAUAAACUUCAUAUUCCCUGGUCUUAUGAAGAUUCACUAACCAUUGCACAGGUUCCAUCUUCCACUGAUAUUUCUGUGAAACUCCAUAUUGCCCAACCUGAUAAUGAUAGCCAUGUAGCAUUACUAAAAAUGUACACGUCAUCAGACUGUCAAUAUGAGGUGACAGUUAAGACUUCCUUUUCACAAAUACUUGGACAGGUA